GGCAUAACCCUAAUAUCACCCUGAACAUGCCUGGUUUUGUCUGAUCUCGGAAGCUAAGCAGGGUUGGGGCCUGGUUAGUACUUGGAUGGGAGACUGCCUGGGAAUACUGGGUGCUGAAGGCU
rnacentral:rRNA from 1 species